rnacentral:rRNA from 1 species
GCCGCCGCGGUAAUACGUAGGGGGCGAGCGUUAUCCGGAUUCAUUGGGCGUAAAGCGCGCGUAGGCGGCCUGGCAGGCCUGGGGUCAAAUCCGGGGGCUCAACCCCCGUCCGCCCCGGGAACCGCCUGGCUCGGGUCCGGUAGGGGAGGGUGGAACACCCGGUGUAGCGGUGGAAUGCGCAGAUAUCGGGUGGAACACCGGUGGCGAAGGCGGCCCUCUGGGCCGAGACCGACGCUGAGGCGCGAAAGCUGGGGGAGCGAA